GCGCCUUUUUGUGGGACGUUGUGGCUCCCUGAAAACGUGCACGCGCAGAGCGGCUAAGAAAUGAAUGCAAGUGAUCUGUCUACUGUGUGUAAUGAAGACUCCUGUCUCGCGAGGCUUCAGCGAAGUCCUGGAUGAUUAUGCUGCUGCUCCACAUUGGUUUAAGAAGCUUUAGUAAUCCUGACCUGCAAGCAUUCCACUUUCAAGCUGGACUCUGAGGAAUCUUUAAUCACUCUCAGUGGACCUGACUGAUCUUGCAGAGUGAUUAGCAGUCUAGGUUAAGGCCAAGAUGUUGACCUUUUUUCCUGACCUGUAUGGCUCACUGAUGUGGGCGUUCCACCUUCAACCUGGACUCCUAGGAAUCUUGGAUCACUCUCAGUGGACCUGACUGUGAUCUUGCAAAGUGAUUAGCAGUCUAGGUUAAGGCCAAGAUGUUAACCUUUCGUUCCUGACCUGUAUGGCUCACUGAUGUGGGCGUUCAUGUGCACAUUCAAGCUGGACUCCUAGGAAUCUUGGAUCACUCUCAAUGGAUUGGACUGUGAUCUUGCAGAGUGAUUAGCAGUCUAGCCGCUCCAUGCACCCGAUGGUCAUCUUGAAGUAUGCUGAGCACUCUAGGUCAAGGCUAAGAUGCUAAAACACAGUUUGGACCAAGAUGUCUAUCGGUUCCUAUGACGGAAGGGUGUUCUUGUUGCUGUGCAUAUGGGUUUUUCUCCAGUUUUGGCCAAUAAAUAUCUGCAACCGUUAA